rnacentral:rRNA from 1 species
CAGUAGCCGCGGUAAUACGGAGGGCGCGAGCGUUACCCGGAUUUACUGGGCGUAAAGGGCGUGUAGGCGGCCUGGGGCGUCCCAUGUGAAAGGCCACGGCUCAACCGUGGAGGAGCGUGGGAUACGCUCAGGCUAGAGGGUGGGAGAGGGUGGUGGAAUUCCCGGAGUAGCGGUGAAAUGCGCAGAUACCGGGAGGAACGCCGAUGGCGAAGGCAGCCACCUGGUCCACUUCUGACGCUGAGGCGCGAAAGCGUGGGGAGCAAACCGGAUUAGAUAUCCGUGUAGUCCCUGUCUCUUAUAC